rnacentral:rRNA from 1 species
UACGUAGGGGGCUAGCGUUGCUCGGAAUCACUGGGCGUAAAGCGCACGUAGGCGGAUUGUUAAGUCAGGUGUGAAAUCCUGGAGCUCAACUCCAGAACUGCCUUUGAUACUGGCGAUCUUGAGUCCGGGAGAGGUGAGUGGAACUGCGAGUGUAGAGGUGAAAUUCGUAGAUAUUCGCAAGAACACCAGUGGCGAAGGCGGCUCACUGGCCCGGUACUGACGCUGAGGUGCGAAAGCGUGGGGAGCAAACAGG